rnacentral:rRNA from 1 species
UACAGAGGGUGCGAGCGUUGUCCGGAAUUACUGGGCGUAAAGCGUGCGCAGGCGGUUUUGUAAGUCUGUCGUGAAAUCCCCGGGCUCAACCUGGGAAUUGCGAUGGAGACUGCAAGGCUAGAAUCUGGCAGAGGGGGGUAGAAUUCCACGUGUAGCAGUGAAAUGCGUAGAGAUGUGGAGGAACACCGAUGGCGAAGGCAGCCCCCUGGGUCAAGAUUGACGCUCAUGCACGAAAGCGUGGGGAGCAAACAGG